UCCAGCCUGGAUGACAGAGCAAGACCCUGUC
rnacentral:piRNA from 1 species